rnacentral:rRNA from 1 species
GAGGCCUGGCGGCAGCUACACAUGCAAGUCGAGCGGUAACAGAUCCAGCUUGCUGGAUGCUGACGAGCGGCGGACGGGUGAGUAAUGCAUAGGAAUCUGCCCGAUAGUGGGGGAUAACCUGGGGAAACCCAGGCUAAUACCGCAUACGUCCUACGGGAGAAAGGGGGCUUCGGCUCCCGCUAUCGGAUGAGCCUAUGUCGGAUUAGCUAGUUGGUGAGGUAACGGCUCACCAAGGCGACGAUCCGUAGCUGGUCUGAGAGGAUGAUCAGCCACAUCGGGACUGAGACACGGCCCGAACUCCUACGGGAGGCAGCAGUGGGGAAUAUUGGACAAUGGGGGGAACCCUGAUCCAGCCAUGCCGCGUGUGUGAAGAAGGCCCUCGGGUUGUAAAGCACUUUCAGCGAGGAAGAACGCCUAGCGGUUAAUACCCGCUAGGAAAGACAUCACUCGCAGAAGAAGCACCGGCUAACUCCGUGCCAGCAGCCGCGGUAAUACGGAGGGUGCAAGCGUUAAUCGGAAUUACUGGGCGUAAAGCGCGCGUAGGUGGCUUGAUAAGCCGGUUGUGAAAGCCCCGGGCUCAACCUGGGAACGGCAUCCGGAACUGUCAAGCUAGAGUGCAGGAGAGGAAGGUAGAAUUCCCGGUGUAGCGGUGAAAUGCGUAGAGAUCGGGAGGAAUACCAGUGGCGAAGGCGGCCUUCUGGACUGACACUGACACUGAGGUGCGAAAGCGUGGGUAGCAAACAGGAUUAGAUACCCUGGGUAGUC